rnacentral:rRNA from 1 species
UCUUCCCUCUGGCGGCGUGCUUAACACAUGCAAGUCGAACGGGAUCCAAGGGGUGCUUGCACUUUUUGGUGAGAGUGGCGAACGGGUGAGUAACACGUGAGUAACCUGUCCUUUUCUUUGGGAUAAGCAUUCGAAAGGGUGUUUAAUACCUUAUGUUCUGUCUGCCUCGCAUGGGGUGGGUGGGAAAGGCUUUGGCCGGAUUUGGGUGGGCUCGCGGUCUAUCAGCUUGUUGGUGGGGUGAUGGCUUACCAAGGCUUUGACGGGUAGCCGGCCUGAGAGGGUGGUCGGUCACAUUGGGACUGAGAUACGGCCCAGACUCCUGCGGGAGGCAGCAGUGGGGGAUAUUGCACAAUGGGCGAAAGCCUGAUGCAGCGACGCCGCGUGGGGGAGGAAGGCCUUCGGGGUGUAAACUUCUUUUGCUCUGAACAAGGCAUGCCAGUGGGUGUGUUGAGUGUAGGGGUUGAUUAGCGCCGGCUAACUACGUG